AUCCCCUUGGCCGGCUGGCCUGGAGCACUGUGGGUGCGUGGGGGUGAGGUAGGACAUGGAUCUGGUGUCCACGGAUGGAGGGGGCAGAGCCUGUGGGGAGCCAAACAGGCCAGAGUGGCUUGGACUUUGGACCCCUGAAGCUACUGAGACGGACAGUCACUGGCCACUGGGUAGACAGGUGUCAGACUUGUCACAUGGAGGUGGUAAGGCUGGAAUGGGCUGACGGUAAGCCUUGGAGGAGGGAUCUCUGCCUGCUCCCCCGCUCUUCAUGAAACUGGGAGGGAGGGCUAUUUGCUGAGCCCAGACCCACCAGGUGAGUCAUGGGCCCCCUGGGGAGAGAGACCUGCAGGAGAUUGGUCAGUUGGGCACUGCUGAGUCACUGUGAGCUCUAGCUAUCCCAAGUCCUGCCUGUUCCUAGCUGGGGCUGGCUGGGGUGGGUCCUGGAGGCCAGCGCAGCCAGGCCGUGAAGGGCAGCAGUGGGGUUGGGGGCACUGGGCUCUGGGAGACACGGGGGAGGGUCGGGGCCUCAAGGCUAGUGGGGCUUGGAGUUUUGGGUGUGUGGCUGGUGGGGCCACAGGCUGGGGUCCAGGAGUUCUGGGGGGCUGAUAGAUUCCUGUGGGCUAGGGCUACAGGGCGGCUAGAGCUACAGGGUGUCAGGGACACGCAUGAGUUCAGGCACCUGUGAACAGAAAAAAGGAAGCGAGUCAACAUCCCUGAGCUCCAAAAUAAUUGGCUUUCGGCUGAGAAGCACUGUGGAGGUGGGCUUGUAGACAGUGACACCAGAGGGAUCAGGGCGGGGUCAGAAGAGACUAGGUGGGGGGGACCUGUGCACCGGGAGUGCAGGGUGGUGGUGGGCAGUGGGAUGGAACCUGAGGGGCCAGGGUGGGGCCUGGGAAUUGGGGGCCAGCACCAGGUCAUGGAAUGGGUCUGGAGAGCUGGGGCAGCCCCUGAUAUCCUGCAGUGGGGUCUGCUGCAGUGAGGUGGGGUGGAGAGCUGGGGAUGGAGAGUGAGGUAUGAGACCAAGGGGCAAGACAGGAGAGCAUCCCAGCCCUCGAGGAGCCUACCUCAAAAGAGUCCGCAGUCUUUGAGGUUCUCCUUGAUGAUGAUGUCUGUUACCGCGUCGAAGACAAAUUUGACGUUCUGCGUGUCCGUAGCACAAGUCAUAUGGGAAUAGAUCUCCUUCACGUCACGUCGCAUGUUAAGCUCGAGGAACUGCACCUUGAUGUAGUUGCCCGCGUCCUCGUAUGUGUUGGGCCCUGGCAGGGAAAGGGGGUGCUCUUACUGGGUGUCCCCACUCCUUCCCGCGGCGGGGGAAGCGCAGGCCCAGAUCACGGGGUUGGAGCGCCGCCUGGCGGCCAGGCUGCGGGGGGGGGGCGGUUCUCACCGUCGUAAUCCGGGAAGCAGAUGCUGAGAUGCGCCUUUUUGAUCUUCUCGGUGAAAACGUCCUUCUUGUUGAGGAAGAGCACGAUGGACGUGGUGGCGAAGUAGCGGUGGUUGCAGAUGCUGUUGAACAGCGUGGCUGCUGGCUGUCUUGUGUCCUCAUUCGGACUGUUCCGGAACGAAUGUCUGCUCUCAGACGCUCCCCGCUCCCACAGUACUGUCUCCGGCUUUCCCCUGAAACACUGCAGGCCCUGCUUGGCACCCACCACUUCGUCGUCCUCCACCAGCACCAUGUCAUAGGCGCUCAGCGCGGCGAUGAAGAUGAUGCAGGUCACACCCUCGAAGCAAUGGAUCCACUUCUUGCGCUCUGAGCGCUGCCCGCCCACAUCGAACAUCCUGUGGAGCAGUUGGGGCCUGAACCCGCUUGGAGCCCGCUGGACGCGCGCACAGGCAUCCCCUUGCCUCCUAAUGCUGGGGGGCACUCAGAUGGGACUGGCAUGUGGAGGGGCCGGAACUUUCUGCGGGCGGGGUAUCAGAGGAGGGGCAGGGUCUCCUUGGGAUGGGGCCUCCGGGACGCGACGGGGCCUCGGGGCGCUGCACUCGCAGCCAGACCCCCAGAGCGAGGGCAAGGGCGAGGGCGAGGGGCCGUACCGGAAGUGGAGGUCCUUGAAGGAGAACUGCGUCUCAAUGAUGCCUGUGGUCUUGACACGCGAGCGCAGCACGUCCUGCUCAGUGGGCACGUAGCCCGGGGUGACCAGGCGCUCCAGGUCCGAGAGGUAGCUGCGGGAGACCGCGGGGUGUGGGUGGGUGCGGUGGAGGGGCGUGGUGGGACCCCGCCCGCACCCCCGCGCCCCGCCUGCUCUCUCACUAGCCCGCGGAGUCGUUGAGCUGGUACUCAGAGGCACGAUCGAAACAGGCCUGGAUACCCGAAUCCUUCCACAGCCGCUGGAUGAUGUCCGACAUCUCCUUGGGCAUGGUGCCCUCUUCGAUGGUGUCCGCCAUGUGCAUCAGCUUCCGGGCGUCGUCCUGAGGGCAAGGGUGGGAGUUGUUGAUGGUGACCGUGGACUUGAGAGUAGUCUCCCGCCUCGAGUCCCCGGAGGCCCUGCUCAGCCAGUCUCCCUGCACACCUGGCGGGCAGAGUCUCCAUACUGGAUGUUGAGCGUGGUCAUGGCGCGCACGAUGGCGAGGAUGGACUGCAGCGUGUUGCCGUAGAUGAUGCUAAUGAACUCGAGGCACUCUUCCAACGAGUACCCAUCCUGGUGGAUAAUCCUGCGGCCGGGGUGAGCCGGGUCAGAGCCAAGUGGACUGGUGGGGAAGGACAGGCCCGGUGCGCGCACCCACCCUCAGGGACCUCAGAAAAGGCAAGGGCACUCACUUCAUCUGCUUGACAAUGGUGCUCUUCCCGGACUCACCCGCACCUGGAAGGGAAGCCCCGCCUCAGAGCUGCGCUGGCCGCACCUCCCCACAACUUCCCCACCCACCCUCCACCCCGCAACCGGACGCGGAAGAUGGGGACCCGCAGACUCAAGGCAGGUACAAGUCCAACCCCAGUUCCCCCUGUUUCCCCCACCCUCCACCCCAAAGCAAGGUCCUGACAGCCUGGAGGAAACACGUCUGUAAAUGCCAGCAGUGACAUAGGGGGCUGACGAGGGCAAUCAACGACCUCAACUGUGUUGGGGAGCCUCCAAGA